CACACACACGCGCGCCGCUCUCUCGCGCCGUGUCUAUUGUGAAGCUUUGUGCCGAGGAAGGUCCGCGCUUUCUCCUUCCCUUCCUUCGUCCUUCUCCUCCUCAGCUCCGUCUCAGCGGCCCCCACCCCCAACAAAAAAUCCGGACUUUCGCAGACAACCGUUCGCCAGGGGUGCGGGGUGGGCUCCCUCGCGGGGCGCGCGAUCGAACUUCCAAGCCCAACGGACUCGCUGGGCGCGAGCUUCUUUCUCCCCCCUCCACCCCCCCGACGCAGAAAGGGAAAGGAGCCGACGGGGCGGCGGGGGCUGUGAGAAGAUGUAAAAAAAAAAAAGGGGUGGUGGUGGUUAACGGCGAGACGUGGUCAAGGAGCCGGGAUUCCCUCAGCAAGAAGACGCGAUACGUGUUGGCACCUACAUGCAGUUGUGAACAAGUCUGAAUCAAGCUUUAGGCUGGUUCACACAUCACAUGAAACAGGAAAUGUUUCUAUUGGCUUCAGAUCAGGUUUACAUGGCAUAUUGAAGACUCGACUCUAAAAUAGGCAAGACAUUAAGUGUCUCUAGCUUCAUCAGUGUCGUCAGACUUCUCCUAGCUGUCCAGACAAGAAAUAGGUUUCCAAGGACAGUAAAGUUCUGUUAAGUAUAUUUAUUAUAACAAAUUUAACAAAAUCACUAUGAAACAAUUCAGCGAUUGCUGGAUAUAAAAUACUAACUACAUUUAUAGACCAAUCAUGGUUCAAAGUUAAUCUAUUUGAACAUGAUGUUGAUUUCCACCUGCCUCUUAUUUUGAAAGCAGAAUGAUCUGGAAUCUUCUUUUUUGGAGCAGUUCAUCCUUUAAGUGGAAGAGCAGCUGAUUUUGAAAUCUACUUUAAAUCCUAAAUUGGUUUCCAGAUUUUUUUUAAAUAUCUGCUUCUAACAUUAUUGUUUUUAUAUUGUUCAUUAUACAAUACAUAUUUCCUAGAUUCA